AGAGUUUGAUCCUGGCUCAGGACGAACGCUGGCGGCGUGCUUAACACAUGCAAGUCGAACGAGAAUCUGUGGAACGAGGAUUCGUCCAAGGGAAACAGAGGACAGUGGCGGACGGGUGAGUAACGCGUGAGGAACCUGCCUUUCAGAGGGGGACAACAGUUGGAAACGACUGCUAAUACCGCAUGACACAUAGGGGUCGCAUGGCCUUUAUGUCAAAGAUUUAUCGCUGAAAGAUGGCCUCGCGUCUGAUUAGCUAGUUGGUGAGGUAACGGCCCACCAAGGCGACGAUCAGUAGCCGGACUGAGAGGUUGAACGGCCACAUUGGGACUGAGAUACGGCCCAGACUCCUACGGGAGGCAGCAGUGGGGAAUAUUGGGCAAUGGGCGCAAGCCUGACCCAGCAACGCCGCGUGAAGGAAGAAGGCUUUCGGGUUGUAAACUUCUUUUGUCAGGGACGAGUAGAAGACGGUACCUGAUGAAUAAGCCACGGCUAACUACGUGCCAGCAGCCGCGGUAAUACGUAGGUGGCAAGCGUUGUCCGGAUUUACUGGGUGUAAAGGGCGUGUAGCCGGGAGGGCAAGUCAGAUGUGAAAUCCACGGGCUCAACUCGUGAACUGCAUUUGAAACUACUCUUCUUGAGUAUCGGAGAGGCAAUCGGAAUUCCUAGUGUAGCGGUGAAAUGCGUAGAUAUUAGGAGGAACACCAGUGGCGAAGGCGGAUUGCUGGACGACAACUGACGGUGAGGCGCGAAAGCGUGGGGAGCAAACAGGAUUAGAUACCCUGGUAGUCCACGCUGUAAACGAUGAAUACUAGGUGUGCGGGGACUGACACCAAGCGUGUCCAAGCUAACGCAAUAAGUAUUCCUCCUGGGGAGUAGAGUCGCAAGGUUGAAAACUCAAAGGAAUUAACGGGGGCCCGCCCAAGCGGUGAGAGUUAUAUGGUUUAAUUUGAAACAACACGAAGAACCUUACCAGGGGUUGACAUCCUACUAACGAAGUAGAGAUACAUCAGGUGCCCUUCGGGGAGAGUAGAGACAGGUGGUGCAUGGUUGUCGUCAGCUCGUGUCGUGGGAUGUGGGGUUAAGUCCCGCAACGAGCGCACCCCCUAUUGUUAGUUGCUACGCAAGAGCACUCUAGUGAGACUGCCGUUGACAAAACGGAGGAAGGUGGGGAUGACGUCAAAUCAUCAUGCCCCUUAUGUCCUGGGCUGCACACGUAAUACAAUGGCGGUCAACAGAGGGAUGCAAACCCGUAAGGUGGAGCGAACCCCUAAAAGCCGUCCCAGUUCAGAUUGUGGGCUGCAACCCGCCCACAUGAAGUCGGAAUCGCUAGUAAUCGCGGAUCAGCAUGCCGUGGUGAAUACGUUCCCGGGCCUUGUACACACCGCCCGUCA
rnacentral:rRNA from 1 species